CAGCCCCGGGAGUCCCAGGUGUUCCCAUUCUGUGAUCAGGACAGAACACAGAAACCUCACCAUGGAGUUUGUGCUGGGCUGGGUUUUCCUGGUUGCUCUUUUAAAAGGUGUCCAGUGUGAUGUGCAGCUGGUGGAAUCUGGGGGAGACCUGGUGAAGCCUGGGGGGUCCCUGAGACUCACCUGUGUAGCCUCUGGAUUCACCUUCAGUAGCUAUGACAUGAACUGGGUCCGCCAGGCUCCAGGGAAGGGGCUGCAGUGGGUCGCAUAUAUUAGUAGUAGUGGAGGUAGCAUAUACUACGCAGACUCCGUGAAGGGCCGAUUCACCAUCUCCAGAGACAACGCCAAGAACACUCUGUAUCUGCAGAUGAACAGCCUGAAGACCGAGGACACGGCCACAUAUUACUGUGCGAGUGACACAGAGCAGGUGCAGUUGGAGGAUACAGUGGACAUUAACAUAAUUGACUUUUCCAGUGGUGCCAGGUGGGCUGUAAUUCAAACCACAGCUGCCCUUCUCGACUCCACUGCCGACAACCCAUGGGCAGCUUGUCCAGACACCUGCACAAGAACCCAGGUUGGGCCUCAGCAGGGACCCUCACCUGCAGAACUGGAAAGUGUGGAGAGAUGA